UCCAGGCCCUACGGGGCGCAGCAGGCGCGAAACCUUCGCACUGCGCGAAAGCGCGACGAGGGGAGCCCGAGUGCCUCUCCAUUUCGGGGAGGCUUUUCACAAGCCUAAAAAGCUUGUGGAAUAAGGGCGUGGGCAAGACGGG
rnacentral:rRNA from 1 species